rnacentral:rRNA from 1 species
UGGGGAAUCUUCCGCAAUGGACGAAAGUCUGACGGAGCAACGCCGCGUGAGUGAUGAAGGAUUUCGGUCUGUAAAGCUCUGUUGUUUAUGACGAACGUGCAGU